AUUUCUUAAAGGAUAAAUAGCUAUUAUGGCGGCCAAAGGAAGCUCGGUCUCACCAGCCAAACAGCUCACACCUGAGUCUGUUAAAGCGCUACAAGUAUCUUCAACUUUGAUGCAUAGGUAUACACAUGCAUGAUCAUAUAUAGAUGUAGAGAGAGAGAGAGAUAUGUGUUUCUCCUAUUAUAUUGUACUGUUUUAUGAAAUGCAGUGAGGGUGUGAUAUACUGUUAGAAUAAGAUCCAGCUAGGUUUUUUAGAGACUGUAUAUCUGUGUGUUUUGUAACUUAUUUCUACGAGGUCCCCCCCCCCCAAAAAAAAGUUCUCUCCCUCUCACUCGCAGACGAUAGUAAAGUUAAAUUAAAUAUUUGUCUUUUAAGCUAUUGCCUUGUAUCUUGAUGUAAAUUCGGUA